UACGUAGGUGGCAAGCGUUGUCCGGAAUUAUUGGGCGUAAAGCGCGCGCAGGCGGUCCUUUAAGUCUGAUGUGAAAGCCCACGGCUCAACCGUGGAGGGUCAUUGGAAACUGGGGACUUGAGUGCAGAAGAGGAGAGUGGAAUUCCACGUGUAGCGGUGAAAUGCGUAGAGAUGUGGAGGAACACCAGUGGCGAAGGCGACUCGCUGGACCUGACCUGACGCUGAGGCGCGAAGGCGUGGGUAGCAAACAGG
rnacentral:rRNA from 1 species